rnacentral:lncRNA from 1 species
CUGUUAGGGUACCUCAUAAACUAGAGGCCUGCUGGCUGACAGCCUGGCUAGAGACAAAGAGUUAGGGUCAGGUACAAGUGUGGUUAUCGGAGAGCAACUCUUGGUAUUGUUUCUUUCGCCAACUGCAUUUACUGACUAAUGUCUACCCAUAAUGACAUCUUUCUCACGGCUUUGACGCUCAUCUGUCCUUGGAUGGGCCUGGCUUGCUUAUUAUACCCCAGGGAGAACAUCUCCAUCUACAUGGAUUUCUUAAAAAAAUUGGGCAUGUGGGGCUGUUCUUUUUUUAAGGUCCUAUUCCCCAUUUGAUUCUUGAUCUGUAAAUAAAAAAGCCAUGAGCCAAUUGCUGGUCUGAAGAUACACAUGGAACUUCUGGUUCCUAGGAGGAAAAGGGGACACCAGGAAGCAAAGAUGGAGUUCCCCAUGCUCUACAGCGUGUACCCAGUAGUUCCUAAAGAAAACGUCUGGGCCAUGCUGAGGUCUGUGGUCCCCGCUGAUGCUGAAGGCCAUGUGGAUGUCCGGGAUCCAUGUUGCAACUGACUGUAAAAGAAGCCAAAUGAAGCAGCAAGGAGGACUUCUCUCAGUACUCCUGAAAAGAACGAGAUACAGAGCCACAAACCGGAAUGGAGACAGUCUGAGGCAGACAGGCAAUGGGGGGAAGAGAUCUUGAGCAUGCAUGGUGAGAAGACAGUCAACCUGGG